rnacentral:lncRNA from 1 species
GGACAGGGGUGUUAAGGAGCACAUUUCUUUUCAUCUGACGAGACGCUUGCCUAGGAGACAGGUAGGGUUGUUAGAGAGAUACCAGAGCACCAAUAGAUGCAAGCUCAGGAGCCUUGCUGAUUUUUCUGCCAUUGUGCCUGGGCUAUAUUUCUCUGAUCCAUAUUUCCCAGUUAAACACAUUAUGGUCUUGCCCAGCCUGGUGUCCUUUGCUGAUUGGGGCUGAUGGAAGCUGUAGUCAAUUUAAAAAUAAAAUAAAAUCUGGAGGGCCCUGGGAUGUGGAAAGGCGGAUCUGUCAUUACACAACGUGUUUACUUUCUUAUUGUUACUCCCACCCUGCAGAAAUAGUGGAAGGUAGGUGGAAGUAGGAGGAGGGCGGAGGAGACAGGUAAGUAGUCAGUGUGGUGUAGUGGUUAAGAGCGGUAGACUCAUAAUCUGGCUGUCACGCAUAGCUGUCAACUUUCAGAUUUGAAAAUAAGGGAUCAGCAGCCUCACCUGUCCCAGGGACAGUCUAUGGGAUAUCUAACAAUUCAGGAUAGCAGUGGGAAACAACACUGGAAUAAGGGAAUUUCCUGCAAAAAAAAGGGAAGGUUGACAGCUAUGGGUUCGCUUCCCGCUCCUCCACAUGCAGCUGCUGGGUGACCUUGGGCCAGUCACACUUCUCUGAAGUCUCUCAGCCCCACUCACCUCACAGAGUGUUUGUUGUGGGGGAGGAAGGGAAAGGAGAAUGUUAGCCGCUUUGAGACUCCUCUGGGUAGUGAUAAAGCGGGAUAUCAAAUCCAAACUCCUCUUCCUCCUCCUCCUCUUCUUCUUCUUCUAUCACCAUCAAUUGCAGUUCCCUCUAGCCGCACCUGAUCCAACCUUUGCUGCAAGGAUUUUAUUUAAGCAAUAGCGAAAGAAACUAACCUUCCCCCACCAUAGCCCUGAGGAUAGACUGCAUGGUUUUCCAAACUUGGGUCUCCAGCUGUUUUGGGACUACAACUCCCAUCAUCCCUGACCCCUGGUCUUGCUAGCUAGGGAUGACGGGAGCUGUAUUCCAAAAACAGCUGGAGACCCAGGUUUGGGAAACACCCAGAAAACUGGGGAAACUGAUAAAGUGUGCCAAUUUCAAUAUGACGAGGAGGAACCUGGAAAUCCCAUGCCGUCCACCUGCAGCUGGCACAGUAGGCAGAACAGGUCUCUUCCCUCUGCAACCCCAAAUAAUCUGGUGUGAAAAGGGGGCAGAUUUGGUGGGGAGGAGGCUGUGUGUGUGUGUGUGUGUGCUAUCUCGCCCUCAGGAUUGUGGGUGCCCACGUUGCGAUGGCCAGCGUUGACUUUUCCUCCUCCUAUCUGCAACCAGCGAGGCACCCUUUUCCGUGGGAGAGACUCGGACUCAUAGGCAGAGAGGCUGUGCCACCGCAUCUGAGUCCCACACCUGGAAAAGGUGUGGGAUGUAAUCCACUGAAGCAGUCAAACAAACAUCCCUUGUUUCCCUAGAGUGGGCACAGGCAGGGAGAAGUUAUGCCAGCCAGUAUAACUUCCUGUUCCACUGGUCUGGAGCCUCCUCCCCCUGCAUGUGACCAGGAAGAUGGGCCUGACCCUGGCUGACUCCAUAAAAGAGCCAAGUCAAGCAGCCAUCUUUCUCUCUUGCUGCCAUGCUGCUCUCAUGCAGCCAUUUUCUUCUCUUGAUGCUGUUCUCUUAAUGGAUUUUUGCUGUCUGCUGGCUCUCAGCCAGCAGCACACGACCUCAGUCUCCAUAUGAGAUGAACUCAGUUUAUAAUAAUAAUAAUAAUAAUAAUAAUAAUAAUAGUAGUAAUUUAUUAUUUAUACCCUGUCCAUCUGGCUGGGCUUCCCCAGCCACACUGGGCGGCUUCCCAAAAAAUAUUAAAAUACUGUAAUGCAUCAAACAUUAAAAGCUUCCCUAAACAGGGCUGCCUUCAGAUGUCUUCUAAAAGUCUGGUAGUUGUUGUUCUCUUUGACAUCUGGUGGGAGGGCAUUCCACAGGGCGGGUGCCACUACCGAGAAGGCCCUCUGCCUGGUUCCCUGUAACUUAGCUUCUCACAGUGAGGGAACCGCCAGAAGGCCCUCGGUGCUGGACCUCUGUGUCUGGGUAGAAUGAUGGAGGUGGAGAUGCUCCUUCAGUUUGUUAUGUAACUACAAGCUAAAGUCUGCCCUUUAGGGAUCAUACUGUGAACUGCAUGUGAGUAAACUUCUUGUUACUUUUAAGGAAAGAGCCUUGUGUCUUUAUUCUUUUAAGAGGAAUCAAAGGGGACAACAGGAAUAAUCCAGUCUGAUCAAGUCAGAGAGGAUUGCUUACUAAUAAUAAUAAUAAUAAUAAUUUAUUUAUACCCCGCCCAUUGAAGAAAUUCAAAUGAAUCUGCAAACUAGCUUCAUUUUGAGGGAAAUCUGCUCUGCUACAUGACUCACUAGCGUGACUGAAGGAAGGAAGGAUCAUAUUUAAUCAAUAUAUCCUCUCCUGCCAUCCUUAACAUUCCCACAAAAGGUUGCUUUGCUUGGUGGCUGCGGAGGACAGAGGCGAACUUUUUCUCUCCCUGCUGGCUUUUUUCAUUGACUUUGUGGGUGUUCAGCUCCCACAAUUAUAUUAUAGUGGGUGCCCAAGCACCCACAACCCCCUGGCGUUGGCUCCUAUGGGGUGUGUGUGAAGAAGGGGAAAUCCCAUUGUAUGAGCAGAAGUUUGAUCAGGAAUGUUGGGUGUCGCCCUUGUCAUUUUCAGCAGGGGCAAAGACAAGGAUUGUGUGUGUGUGUGUGUGUGUGUGUGUGUGUGUGUGUGUGUUGCUGCUGGUGGUUCUGCAGAGGGCUGCCUUCCUUCCAAAUAGUUCCUUCCCCCCUUUCUAUGCGGGCUGGACGAUGAGGACUAGGUAACUUGCAAACACUGCUGAGCAAGACUAGCUCAUAUAUAAGAGUUGGUGAAUAAAUAAGGGAAUGUUUUUAUCCUUUUCGUCACUCAAGCCACCUGCCGCAGUAAACCACCCUUGUUGUCCAGAAUUUUAUGUAGAGCUGCAGGAAUGAAAAGCAGGGGGAAAGCUUUCCGUUUGCUCAUUUUUAGCCUUGUUUGGUUGAAGUUGGUAUUAUUAAAAGCAUGCAGAGAAGAGGGGAUAAUGAACUUAACUCCCCAGUGGUAAUUAAGAACCUCAGUCAAGCAUGAGGAUGAAAGAAUGAACAAUCAUUUCCACUGGGAAACGGGCUUAGAGAAAGAAUGCGCUUUAGAGAACUCAUACUUGCACAAGGCAGCCACAUAAGCAAAAUUAUUAUCUCUAACCCCCCCUCCCACUUUCUUCUGCAUUUGCCUCAAGCCAAAUUCUCAGAUAAUUUUUUUUGUACCAGUUAAGUCCUUCUUGGCAGGCCUGUUUACAUUGGUUCUUUUUUGGUUGUCGAUAACUAGUUAGGGUUGCCAUAUGUCUGGGAAUUCCAAGAUAUGUCUUCUUUUUGGGGAGCCUACAUGUCCAUCCGGGGAAAAUUUUACACUUUAAAACAAAUGUCCUGGAUUUUGGCCACCCUUGUUGUUGUUGUUUAGUCAUUUAGUCGUAUCCGACUCUUCGUAACCCCAUGGACCAGAGCACGCCAGGCACUCCUGUCUUCCACUGCCUCCUGCAGUUUGGUCAAACUCAUACUGGUAGCUUUGAGAACACUGUCCAACCAUCUUGUCCUCUGUCGUCCCCUUCUCCUUGUGCCCUCCAUCUUUCCCAACAUCAGGGUCUUUUCCAGGGAGUCUUCUCUUCUCAUGAGGUGGCCAAAGUAUUGGAUUCUCAGCUUCAGGAUCUGUCCUUCCAGUGAGCAUUCAGGGCUGAUAUCCUUCAGAAUGGAUACGUUUGAUCUUCUUGCAGUCCAUGGGACUCUCAAGAGUCUCCUCCAGCACCAUAAUUCAAAAGCAUCAAUUCUUCGGCGAUCAGCCUUCGUUAUGGUCCAGCUCUCACUUCCAUACAUCACUACUGGGAAAACCAUGGCUUUAAUUAUACAGGCCUUUAUUGGCAAGGUGAUGUCUCUGCUUUUUAAGAUGCUGUCUAGGUUUGUCAUGGCUUUUCUCCCAAGAAGCAGGCGUCUUUUAAUUUCGUGACUGCAGUCACCAUCUGCAGUGAUUUGGCCACCCUAUAACUAGUCAAUUCUACACCCAGAGCUCCCAGCCCAUUUCCUUGCCCCUGAGAAUAAGCAAGAGCUGAAUUAGGAAUGGUUGCGGCCUUAAGAACACAGGAAGAAGAUCUCUCCCGAAUCAGAUCAAAGGACCAUCUCAUUCCAGCAGCGGAAUGCUGUGCAUCUGGGGACAGGGCAAUCCAGCGUAGCCGCGAUCGCGCCGGGGUGCCAUUCAGUGUGCAGUGGCGGAGCAAGGUCAGGUUGACUGCCGCACCACAUUUUGUCACCCCCCUCGGAGGUGGCACCUGGGGCAUACCUCACCCACCGCACCCACCUUGCGACGCCUCUGCCCCAUCCAACCUCCUGUUUUCACAUUGGCCAGCCAGUUGCCUGUCGGAAACCCAUGAGCAUUUCAGUGAUGUCAGAUAGGAGAUAGGAGAACUGCAUUAGAUGGUUAUAGCAAAAUAUGCAGGAAUGGUGGAUAACCUAAAUGAACCAUGGAAGGCGAAGGAGGGAAGUCACUGAAUGUAUGGUAUAAUGCAAGAUGUUUAUUUUGAGAUGCAAAAUUGAAAACUUAAUUAUAUGUACAGUGGUACCUCGGGUUAAGUACUUAAUUCGUUCUGGAGGUCUGUUCUUAACCUGAAGCAAAGUUCUUAACCUGAAGCACUAUUUCUGGGUUAGCGGAGUCUGUAACCUGAAGCGUAUGUAACCUGAAGCAUAUGUAACCUGAGGUACAACUGUGUGUGUAUAUAUAUAUAUAUAUAUAUAUAUAUAUAUAUAUAUAUGGAGACCCAUGAGCAGGACCUGAAUGCAACAGCACUCUCUCUUCUUACAAUUCCCAGCAACAGAUUUUCAAAGUUUUACAGCUUCCAAGAGUGGAGGUAGAAAGCAGGGGUGAGCAACCUGCAGCCUAAAGGUCACUUAAUUUCAUGUUGCUGGCAAGGAGAGGAAAAAGUGGGAGGAAAGAGGGUGGCAGAGAGAAAAGAUGGCAAAGGGGAGGGCAUUAGAAUCCAGGACACAAAGUUGACCACAACUUUAUUUUUUGGGACACAAUGGAAACUGAAAGAAGGUCCCUUGUGAUGGCCUGGGAUUUGGACUCGGAGGCUGAAGCUGAGGAAUCCCAGCCUGCACAGGAGUCCCCGCCUCCAGAACCAGCUGAGCUGAGGCUUGAGCCUGAAGGGUCCUCACCUGUGCUGGAUCCUCAGGUGCAGGCACCAGCUGAGUCUGCUCUGGCUCCUGAGGCGAUGGAGGACCCAUUGCCUGCAGGUGCUCCACUCUCAGCCUCGUCAGAGGAAGAGGAGGUUGCCUCUGGGUCCGGUAACCCUCCAGCCUCUCCUGAGCUGCAGAGGCUCAGGGAAGAGAGGCGGAGGGAACUAAGUUCCCGCAGGAGGAGUGCUCGCCUCCAGGCCAGGAGAGACGAGGCACCUGUGGACCGGGGCCACCCUAUGCCUCAGGGCAGAUAAAAGCCGGCCAGCCCCAGUCCCAGGUUGCGGGAGCAACGUUGUUGCUAGCCUGUUCCUGCCUGCACCCUGUCCUGCUCUUCUGCCAGAGUUCCUGACCCCACCCGACUCCCCGCCUUGGACCCAGCUACAGCUUUGACGGACAGCCUCCAUACCGCACCAUCGACCUCGGACUGGACUCGGACCUCGCCUCUCGGUUAGCCCCCAGGACCAGCACAUCCCUCCUUGGACUUCCUUUUUUUUUGUCAAUUAAUUUUUUAUUAAGUUUCAAUUUUGUAAACAAAUGAACAUCAAAUUUACUAUCAAAUUUAAUACACGAUUUAAAAGUUGACUUCCCACCCUUCUUCCAUGCUGUUGGUAUUCCCCACCCUUCUAUGCUGCAUCUAUUGUUAUCUAUUCCACAAUUCUUUCAUUACUAUUAUUCUUUACUUUCUACCUCCUGUCCUGCUCAUAAUUUAGUCCUGCCUGUGAUUCCAUUUAACGUAUAAUAUUUCCACAUUGUCCAAAUAGGGAGUUUCUUUUUCCAAAUCAAAUGGAACUCUUUCCAGAUCCCUUGAAUUCUUCUUUGCUGUCAUCUUUGCCAUGUCCACAUAGGUUUUUACAAAUAAUUCUUAUAUUAGCCUCCUCCUUGGACUUCCUGUGAUACCACAGACUUUGGUGGAGCACCAUGAAAAUCUGAGCUCAAAUGAGACCUACCGCCUUUGCCUUCAUCCAACCAACGGCAGAGCCAAGGCUCAGAUGUUUGAAAUAGAGGAAGGGGUGUAAGAUAAGAUGCAAACUCCUACCAGCAAGUUACCAUAGGUCUAAGCCUAUUGUCACAUGCUAGGUAGAACACAUUUUUUUUGGCAGGAGGUUGGAAGAAGUGGGUCAUCUGCCAUUUGGAUAAUUCGUACAAAUAUCCCGAGGUACAUGUGAUUCUCCACUUUCCUAAGGAAAGGAAAUUUCUGGGGCAAUCGCUACAGGGUCUUUUUGCUUGGAAGGAGACUCAUGGCAUUUUGGUGGCAUCUGUUUGUUUACAAAUCUGCAAGCUGAGCACGGCUAAGGUAGCACCCAGACAGAUGGCAUUAGUCUAAGAAGCUGCAUCACUUCCCCUAAAGCAAGACAUCAACCAGUAAGAGCCCCCCUCCCUGUUCCUUCUUCUAGACAUUGCAAAACCAGGUUUCUGUCUCUCUUGGCAAAAUUCUCAAACUAUUUUAUCUUUAGAAUGGUCCUAACAGUGUUAUAGGUCUUGGCCACCAACUAUGUGAAAGGAAACAUUCUAGCCAGCUAGACUCUUCAACUGCCCAUUAGCAAACAAUCAAAUGUACAAAAGGCAGUUCUCUCUUCACUUGAGAUUGUUGAAGCAAUGAUUCUUCAACAUUAACUUUGUUGGACUGGUCAUGUUGUUCUGAUGCCUGAUUAUCGUCUUCCAAGGAACUACUCUAUUCCAAACUUAAAAAUGGAAAGCGUAAUGCUGGUGGUCAACAAAAGAGGUUUAAAGACUGUCUCAAGGCAAAUCUAAAUAAAUGUAGAAUAAACACUGACAACUGGGAAAUACUGGGCUGUGAGUGCUCCAGUUGGAGAACUGCCUUUACUAAAGGUGUCAUGGACUUUGAAGACACUCAAACUCAGAACACAAGGGAGAAAUGCGCUAAGAGGAAGGCAUGCUUGGUAAAUCGGCACCGUUAUCAACUCCCACUCGGGAACCAAUGUCCCCACUGUGGAAGGAUGUGUGGGUCCAGAAUUGGCCUCCACAGUCACUUACGGAUUCACUGUUAAAACCGUUUUUAUGGAAGUCAAUCUUACUCAGCUACGAGUGUCGCCAAAGAAGAAGCACAAUAGCGUUGUUGGCAUCUUGUCUGUCUUGAGAGACAAUGGAGUGUGCCUCUGGGGGUGAAGUCAUACUGCUGGAGAAUCACAGCACCUCCUUUGGCUGCUGCAUUAGUAGUGAUCUCUCCGGGGUGCAAGCCUGGGCAGUGUGUAUGAAGGUCCCAGUGAUGUGGUUCAAAGGAAAGUGGAUCAAUACAUUUGGCACUAGCUUGGCUGCAGGAGUUGCUGGAAGGAGACAUACAAGCCACCAUCCAACCAUCUUAGGGACUUCAUCUUAGGGAAUUGAGUUUACUCCUUAGCCUUUUCUUCUCCUGAUGAUGUCCCACAAGUGAGAUGGCCUGGGAAUCUGAUUCAGAGGCUGAAUCUGAGGAAUCCCAGCCUGCACAGGAGUCCCUGCCUCCAGGGCCGGCUGAGCCGGGGCAGGGGCUUGAACCUGAAGGGCCCUCACCUGUGCCAGAUCCUCAGAAGCAGACACCAGCUGAAUCCACUCUGGCUCUGGAGGUGAUCGAGGACCCAUUGCCUGCAGGUGCUCCUCUCCCAGCCCUGUCAGGGGAAGGUGAGGUUGCCUCUGGGUCCAGUAACCCUCCAGCCUCUCCUGAGCUGCAGAGGCUCAGGGCAGAGAGGCGGAGGGAACUAAGUUCUUGCAGGAGGAUUGCUCCCCUCCAGGCCAGGAAAGGUGAGUCACCUGUGGACCGGGGCCGUCCUAUGCCUCAGAGGAGGUAAAGGCCAGCCCGCCCAGUCCCAGGUUGCGGGAGCAAUAUCGUUGGUAACCUGUUCCUGCCGGCACCCUGACCUGCUCUCCUGCCAGAGUUCCUGACCUCACCUGACUCCUCGCUUUGGACCUCACUUUGCCCCUGACGGACAGCCUCCAUACCCUCAACCUAGGACCGGACUUAGACCACGCCGCACGGUAACACCCCCCCCCCAGGACCAGCACAACAAGGCACUGGGUACGGAUUUUUCUUCAUAGUUUACUUCUGAAGCCUUUUUCACUUAGCAUUCAAAGUUUACAUAUGUUUGCAUGGGUGUGUGUAUUUGGGAGCAAUGACCCAUUGCUCCCUGCGUUCUCAGUAGAUCCCACACAGUUCCCAUCAGAAGUCUCUUUUAUCAUCAAUUGCAAGAUGCAAUUAUCCCAAUUACAUUGACUAUGCAAAGGGACACGCCUUACAACUUAAAAGCUUUGUCCUUGGAGAAGUGGUUUCUGAAAGCAUAACUAAGAGGAACGGCCUUUUUUAAAAAAAGAAAAAGAAAAAAAAAGAACAAAAGUGCUUUCCCCUUUCCAUCUCCUCUGUAUUAAGGCACCUCGAUCUCGAACACAGAUAAUGAUCAAGGAGCCUCGUUUCUCUGUUCAAUAAGAUGGACAUGAAAAACACUUUGCCUUUUCAUCAUGGAAAUAAAAAGGAUCUGAAACUUGAAAACUCAUUAGGCACGGAUUGAUGUUCAACUCGGCUUCCGAAUGAUCCUCACAGCAAUGGUGUAGGAGCAAGAUUUUCCCCUCGUGAAGACAAUAACCUAGGCGGGUAUUUUGCUGCUUGAAAUCUGCUCAAAAUGCAGCCCUUCUACUUUUAAGGAAAUGUGAAACCAUAAUUGUUUUCUGUCAGACACCCAUUUCUCAGAGACAGGCAACAGAGCCGCCCAAAGAAAUGGUCUCUGGUUUAUCAGCUAAAAUCUCCCUCCCUCUCCUUAACCUGUGCAUCCUAUCAGAUGCACAGAUGAUAAAUUUGCAUACGCAGGGAGAAAGUAUCCUGACUUUUUUUUUGCUCAGACGGCAUUGGUUCCCCUCAUCUAUUCCCUUCCCACCCAGAUUUAAUGAAAUUUCUACCUAGCAAAAUCAUUUUAAAAGAGCUCUCAGAGAGGCUUAACCAUGAGAAAUCAUUGUUAAAAAGAGAUUAUAGAAUUGUAAAGAUGGAAGGGACCGUGAGGGUCAUCUGGUCCAACUGCCUGCAAUGCAGGUAUCUUGCGGCCAAUGUGGCCAAGCCCACCCCACUGUCUCCUCUAUGCAAAAUCACCAUCUGGCUCCUCACUCCCAGAACUCCGUCCCUCAAUGCCUAUAACUUCGUUGGACUGGUCAUGUUGUUCAGAUGCCCAGGGCCAGAUUUAGAUGAAGAGAGGCCCUAGGCUACUCCAACUGUGAGGCCCCCACCCCCACCCUCACAACUAGAAGAAAAUGGAAGAGUGUUAUAAACAAAAUUAAGUGAAACCAAGGAUGAUGACGGGUAUUUAAAAUUCUACAACUCACAAUUUCUCCUCUAAAGGAUGAAAGAUAUUAUUGUUAAAAACUGGAGGCCUGGGCAGGCCGGGUCUUCCUCUUAUAUACCUGCUGGGAUUGUCAAGUCAUCUGACUCUCACCUGAAUCUCAUAGCUCUCCUGUAGCUGCCUCUGAUUGGUUACCAUUUAACUCUUGAGGGAAAUAAUUAGCAUCACACGGCAUGUGCAUGAAAGUUGCCGAACCAAUUAACCAACUAGAAGGAUUGCACCAGGGCAAUCUAGAUGGAUUUUAUUUAUAUCUAUAAGAUUUUGCAGACUUUGGCUGUGAACUGGGGCCCUACAAAAAAAAAAAAAUCAAGUUGUGCCCCACUGUUUCAAAUUGGGCCCCACUGGCUAGCCCUGAGUCUCAUAGUUGCUGGGCUUGAGUUGCCUUGCCCUUGCAUGAAGUCUUGGGUUUGCAAUUUUGGGAGAGGGGAGACUGCGGCACUGGGGAGCGGGCAGGCUGAUGAGGCCCCCCUAGAUUUAGAGGCCCUAGGCUUCAGCCUACUUAGCCUAUACAUAAAUCUGGCACUACAGAUGCCUGAUUAUUGUCUCCCAAAGCAACUACUCUAUUCUGAACUUAAAAAUGAAAAGCAUAAUGUUGGUGGUCAACAAAAGAGGUUUAAAGACUGUCUCAAGGCAAAUCUUAAAAAAUGUGGUGUAAACACUGACAACUGGGAAACACAGUCCUGUGAGUGCUCCAAUUGGAGAACAGCCUUUACCAAAGGUGUCAAGGACUUUGAAGACACUCGAACUCAGGAUGAAAGGGAGAAAUGUGCUAAGAGGAAGGCAUACUUGGGAAAUCCACACCGUGAUCAACUCCCACCCGGAAACCUAUGAUGUCCCCACUGUGGAAGGACGUGUGGAUCCAGAAUUGGCCUCCACAGUCACUUACAGACUCACUGUUAAAACCGUGUUCAUGGAAGACAAUUUUACUCAGCUGUGAGUGAUCGCCAAAGAAGAAGAAGAGCUACUGCAAGCUAGAAAAUUACCUCCCAUAUUAAGGAAAACCUAGGUUCUCCAAUUAGCGGUGACCAGCCUAUCAGACCAUGCCAGAGGUGCUACUCUUCUCCCGCCUCAGACAUCUCUGGCAGAGUGCCAAACUGCCAGGCCCCAUUACUUGAGAGAGUAAUGUGAAAAGGGAUGAAGCUACAUCGGCGGGAGGCUGCUUCCCUGGAUUUUGGCACUCAGACUCCAAUUCUUUCUGGCUAGGAUUAUGUUUUAUUCAUCAAAAUAUGCAUAAAAGCAUGCUCUAAAAGUUUGGUUAAGACAUGCAGCAUCUAAAAGCAUGCAAUUGGAAGAAUGUUAGUGCUCAAAUGUUGGCUUCCACCCCCAUGUAAAAACCAAAUAUCCAAUGUAUUUUAGUCACACUGAAUCCCGAAUGGCAUGUAAAUUCAAAGUGUUGUUUAUCACUUUGAAACUCUGUCAGAUGCUGCUGGAUUUGUUCUUCAAGAUUAAUCUUGAGUUUUAUCCCAAAAGGCUUGUUGUUGUUGUUGUUUAGUCAUUUAGUCGUGUCCGACUCUUCGUGACCCCAUGGACCAGAGCACGCCAGGCACUCCUGUCUUCCACUGCCUCCCGCAGUUUGGUCAAACUCAUGCUGGUAGGUUUGAGAACACUGUCCAACCAUCUCGUCCUCUGUCAUCCCCUUCUCCUUGUGCCCUCCAUCUUUCCCAACAUCAGGGUCUUUUCCAGGGAGUCUUCUCUUCUCAUGAGGUGGCCAAAUUACUGGAGUCUUAGCUUCACGAUCUGUCCUUCCAGUGAGCACUCAGAGCUGAUUUCCUUAAGAAUGGAGAGGUUUGAUCUUCUUGCAGUCCGUGGGACUCUCAAGAGUCUCCUCCAGCACCAUAAUUCAAAAGCAUCAAUUCUUCAGCAAUCAGCCUUCUUUAUGGUCCAGCUCUCACUUCCAUACAUCACUACUGGGUUAGAAACCAUUAAAAAAAACACCAACCAAUGAAAAGUGGGGAAUAUUCCAGGGAGCAGGUGAUUCUGGGAGACUUUGUUUAUGUGAUGGAGCUCCUGAACAAUGUGGUAGCGGACAGGCAUCUGUUGCAAUAUAUUUGACCUUAAGCACAUGUUUGCCUGGCUGACUAGUCUAUGGCUCUGUAUGUAAUAGCAGCUUGAAAUUAUCUGCCUUCACAUUUCAAGACACAUCUUUACAUUGCAGUACACACUGGAGAGAGGGGGAGAGAGGGAUGUUUUUGCCUGAUGCCUCUUACCUGAUUUGCCUACAAUCCUCCCCUGUUUUUAAUCUUGUGUAAUGUGCUUUAAAAUUAUUAUUGCAUUUUAAUUGUUGUAACCCGCCCUGAGGCAUUAGGGUGAAGAGUGGGAAAUAAUAAUAAUAAUAAUAACCAUUGCUUUUUUCUAAAAAAACGUUUUCUUGACUCAAGAAAAUCACCAUAGUUCAGAUUGGAAAAAGUAAAUACAGUGGAGCCUCUGGAUACGAAUUUAAUUCGUCCAUAUGCACACCAAAAAAUCCAUAUCCAGAGGUGCCACUUCUGCGUGCGCAGUGCAAUAGAACGCUUCUGCGCAUGUGCAUGGCGCGCAGAGCUCUUCUGCGCAUGCGCGAGCAGUGAAAGCUGGAAAAAUACUUCCGGGUUUGCCGCUUUCGCAACCCGAAGUUUACGUUACUCGAGAGUAACGUAACCCGAGGGUCUACUGUACAGUAAAUGGACAGAAGUACAAAGAUUCACCAACUGUUCAGAGGUAUGUGUACCCCUGCAUACCCCCAGAAAAAAAGCACUGAUGAUGAUGAUGAUAAAAUAAAAUAAAAAACACAAUUCUUGGCUUACUCACAACGAUGUCAAUAUUUAUUGAUAAUAAAAGUAAACAUUGGUCCCAGCUGCACAGGAGAAGGAGACACUCGUUUGGACUUGUUCCAGCUCAUUCACAUCACACCAAAUCAUGGUUUAGGGCAGUGGUUUUCAACCAGUGUGCCGUGGCACCCUGGGGUGCCCCUGAAUGAUGGUCAGGGGUGCCAUAGGCAACCCUGGCGUCUGUCCCUCUUCCCUCCCUCCUCUGAUGCCCUCUCACGUCUCUGCCUCCCUAAGGCUCACACAGUUGCUUGUUGCAGCAGCCCUGGCUACAAGCUCCGCAGGCGAAUGGCGCCUCGGGCGCUGGCCAGGGGGUGCUGGUUGCCAGGAGUUGAGGCAGCAUCAGAAUAAGCAAGCAAGCGGGCGAGGGAGCCCAGCCAGCGAGUCCGCCAGCCCUUGCUGUUGGGAAUGGGCAGACAAGUCCCAGGCGCCUUUGGGGCACUGUGAGGAGGCACCUCUCUUUGGGGAGGGGUGGGGCAGGACCAGAAGGAGAAAAGAGGAGGCUGAGGGAACACUCCACAAGGGAGGGUGUUCGAAAAAGGGUGGGAGGCUGCCAGCUCUGCAGGCAAGGGGUGACAUAAAUGGGCUCCUGAGCCCCACAGGGGUGCCACAGAAAAAAAUGUGGUUGGUCAAGGGAGCCGUGGACUCAAAAAGGUUGAAAAAAGGUUUAGGGUGUUAUUCACACAUAGCCACAGUUUCUUGGACCUUUGCCUCAAUUUCAUGUUUUAUUAUAACUUUUUUAACAAUACAAGGACUGAAAUAUACUCAGAGUCGAGAGUGGAUCUCAUGCUCUUUAUUCAGCUCAUAGUGGUGAAGAGGAAUGAAAGUCCCCUCAAAGUAUCUGCUUUAUAUACAUUAUUGACACAAUGGGCUGCACGUGAUUGGCUAAUUCCGGAAUUCUCCUGUAGGCCAAUCAGGUUGUGGAUUCACUUCCAUCAGGAGCUGGAUUGGGUGGCUCCUGCAGACCAAUCAUACUGCUACAUUGUUCUAGGACCAAUCAGACUGCUGCAUUCUGAAUCCUAUUGCUCUAGGACCAAUCAGACUGCUGCAUUUUGGAUCCUAUUGUUCUAGGACCAAUCAGACUGCUGCAUUUUGGAUCCUAUUCAACUCAGUACAUAACAAGGACUAUUAUUUGUUGUCAUACACAGAUUGGAAAUUUCUAUCCCAGAUUUCUGUCCACUAAGGCCGUGUUUCCCAAACGUGGGUCUCCAGCUGUUUUUGGACUACAACUCCCAUCAUCCCUAGCUAGCAAGACCAGUGCUCAGGGAUGAUGGGAAUUGUAGUCUGAAAACAGUUGGAGACCCAAGUUUGGGAAACACUGCACUAAGGUAUAGAGCAAAUCUUGGAAGGAAAUUGGAAUGGCAGAGGCUGACUCAGUCUGAUUGUCAGAUGCCAUCAUAGAUAUGAGAUGCCAUCAUAGAUAUGUUUGGGCCGUAAAAAAAGAGCUGUUGAUGGAAGGAAGGGUCAAUUUCAUCAUUGCCUAUGGGCAGCAAACUGUGCAGAAAGAGAGAGUCUCCGCUUCAGCCAUUGCGUUCUCUUCACCUCUCCUCCUGCUCCUUUAACUCGUUUAAUGAAGCUGUCACUCAAUACAAGAUCUUUCCUUCAGCAGAACAGCAGCCAAGGUCACUUCUUCAUUUCACAGACUCCACAAAAAGAUCAGGAGCUUGAAGCAAAGGUCAGAUAAAUCACCCCUUUCCCUGUGUAAGGAGAAUUUAGUUGCCUGGACGCUGUUUGCUGCUCUUUGUACUUUUGCAAGGUAAGUUCUAUAGUGCAAACAUAUUCAAGGGGUUCAGUUAGUGCCAGUUUAUAUAAUACUUUAUCAGUGAGAGAAGUUUUGAUCCAAAUGCUUGCAGAUAUGCACUCAUGUGGGGAAAACUUAAGUGUGGGAAGCACACAAUCUUUCAGGGACUGGGCAGGGGAGGAGUGGUAGCCUUCCAGGGAGGAGGAAGAGGAUAACAGUACAGUGGUACCUUGGGUUACAGACACUUCAGUUACAGAUGCUUCAGGUAACAGACUCCGCUAACCUAGAAAUAGUACCUCAGGUUAAGAACUUUACUUCAGGAUGAGAACAGAAAUCACGUGGCGGCAGCAGGAGGCCCCAUUAGCUAAAGUGGGGCUUCAUGUUAAGAACAGAUUCAGGUUAAGAACGGACCUCCAGAACAAAUUAAGUUCUUAACCCGAGGUACCACUGUAUAAAUUUACAACAGGGGUUUGAGGGAGGGAGCAGUUCAGAGGCAGAUGAGGGGAAAAGCUCAUAACAUCACCUCCAUUGCAAUAGAACAACCCUGAAAGAAGCUGAUGAGCAGGCGGCCUGUGUUGUGUUUUCAAUUGUCCAACUAAAUGCAAUGUAGAAAAGAUGCGGUUUGAUGAGUGCAUCUGGGGCAGGGUAGCAGACAUUCCUCCGUACUCACGAUAGCAGUUUCUUUUUUGAAAUAUUUUUUAUUUGGUUUUACAAAUCUAAAAUUACAGUAAUACCGCAUCACACAUUCACAAUUGAAAGAUUCCUUUGAAUCUCUGGACUUCCCACAUUUCCUUCCAUGGGUUCUGUUGUUAAACUUCUUUUACUGCAUCUUUUCCAGUAAUCUAUAUUUCUUUAUAACUCCAUAGUUCUGGUUCCAUUACAAGUGUUAUCGCAAUCCUGCUAGUGUUUUCAACUGCUUACAGUAGUCUCUUACCAAAUAUGGAGUCAAGUUGUACCAAAAUGGAGGACUAAUGACUCUACGAAAAUCCACAUCCCUGUUUAGGUUUGCAUGGGCAUAGGACGUUUUUAGUGAAAAUCAGGACUUCCCAAAUGGGUUGUUGAGGCUAAUUUUCAAACGUACUGAUACCCAGAGCAAGGCCAUGAGGUCAACCAGGCAUACUAGGGGGUGAGCUAGAAUGAAACAUGACAGAUUACGAGUGGAAGAGCUUGGCAGACUCUGGAGUUUGCUGGUCACCUGCGAUAACUGGUUUUACUGGUCAGUUCAACAAAACAUUUGUUAAUUGGCAACCUGCCACCAUUCAGCUGAUGCCUUUGCCUGAAUUCUCAUUACUAGCUUUUACUUUUAAUGUAGGAGCAGUGGGUAAUGGCAAAUAAACAAACCCUACAUUCUCCUGGUUAUCCGCGAGGGAAUCUGCCUCUAAAAGCUAGGUUUCUGCUCUUGAACUUCCAUACCGGCAAUUUUUAGCCAGAAGGCAUUUAGAGUAGAAAGGGCAGGAAGGUAACCACCCCCUCCCCACACGUCCAUUCCUCCUAAAGCUCUUCUUCAUAAAUAAAUGCAUCUUAAAUAAUCCAAUAAGUAAACACCACCACUGAAAUGUAAGCAGAUUUACUGAAAGAUCCUGCCGGUUUGUUGGCAGAGUUGGAAGAUACGAUAGCCCAGAAAGAAAUCAAUAAGCACUCGGGUCUUAAGGAAGAAAAGAAAAGAAACUUGGCAAAGCUUGAAACUGUUUAAUUAUUUUGAUGAGAGUGAGAAAGAAAGAGAGAGGGGGAGCAAGGGAGGGAGGGAGUUUUCGGUGGAACCUGCUGCAUCAGCGAAAUUUCCUUUUUAAGUGUGCGACAGGCACCGCCGUGCAGCGGACAGGACAUUUUGCAAUGCACAACGCGGGUGGGAGGGGGUGGGGAAAAGCACAGGAGGGGAGGAAGAAUGAUGCAGCCUCCCUUGGGUGCAGGCGGAUCUGAACAGCGGGAUCUGCAUCUCAAGGUAUCUCCGGACUGUCGCUAUUCUGUAAGAGCGAUUUGACUGCAGACCGGAACUCCAAGUUUGAACAAUCAAAGUGUUCUCCUUGCCGCAGUGCAACAAAUCCACUGUAAAAACAAAAAAAGAAGAAGACAUUUUGCAGUCGGGAAAGUGAUGGGAAAUGCAUCAAAAAGUGUGGGAUGAAUGAAUGAUUAAUGGGGAAAUGUGUGUUUUUUUUAAAUACAUCCUGAAUGCAGGAUGAAUACUCAUUGACCUAUAAGCAUAUCAGAUCAAAUGUUCCAUUGUCAGGCUUUGGGGAAUUGGCGCCCCCCCCCAUGGCAAUCGAUAAGAGAUCAAAUGAAAGGAACGCCUUAUCAGUUAGAAUCUUUAAUAACCAUAGCAAGAGAACAAAGAACAUAUCUCCUAGAAAUGGCGGUGCUCCCAAUUAAGGGACACUCCUCCCUCUGUCCCUAUUAAUCUACGUCACUCUUGUAAUCUGAGCUUGUACCCUCUGUGCUUUCUGUUCUGACACUUUCUGAGCUCUCCCUGACUUUGGAGAAGGGGGUUGGAUGCUGUCCAGAGACUGUGAAUCUGUUUUACCCUCUCUCUCCCAGUGUUUCUUCUCCUAGCUGUUCCCCGUCCAGUAUUUCCCAGCUUCUGCCUUUGGAACUAUGCCCCUCUGCAAACCAGUGUUCCAAAUCUAUACUGUCCUCCUGCUCCUGGGAAGAUUCAGGAGCAAGAGCAGGGGGAGGGGAUGGCUCCCACCAUUCCUCCUUAGUGUAGCCCUCCUCAGCAUGAUCCCGGACAUCCAUAGAGACCAGACGUAGUCUAACCAGCAUGUAAGCUUUGCGCAAGCAAAUGAGGAUGAAUGCUGAAUAUGGGUAUCUGGAGGAGCCUACAAGUUUAUUGAGUCUGGUCCUGUUCCUCAAUAUGUGUGUGCGCGCAUCUCUCAGUGCUGACACUUCUCCAUCCACUCAGCCCCUUCCUUGAAAAUGACAUAAGAACACAAGAAUUACUGUGCUGGGUCAGGCCAAUGGCAUCCAAUUCCCACCAUCUCAUGCCUACGGGGAUCCCACAAGGAGGACCUGAGUGCAACAGCAGCCCUCUCCCCUCUUCUGGUUCCUCUGAUGGUCCAGGUAGAGCAUGGCUAUUGUGGCCUGCUCAGUGCCCGCUCUGGGGAAACUGAUCAAACUCCCCUAAAACUCCCCUAAACUCCCCUAAAACCACCUCUGCAGUGGCCCUCCUCCCAGCAUUUUCAGUUUUGCUUAGAGCAGCAAAACGUCCUGGGCAACAGUAAAAGGUAAAGGGACCCCUGACCACUAGGUCCAGUCAUGACCGACUAUGGGGUGGUGGCGCUCAUCUCGCCUUAUUGGCCGAGGGAGCCGGCGUACAGCUUCCAGGUCAUGUGGCCAGCAUGACUAAGCCGCUUCUGGCAAGCCAGAGCAGCACACGGAAACGCCGUUUACCUUCCCGCCGGAGUGGUACCUAUUUAUCUACUUGCACUUUGACGUGCUUUCGAACUGCUAGGUUGGCAGGAGCAGGGACUAAGCAAUGGGAGCUCACCCCGUCACAGGGAUUUGAACUGCCGACCUUCUGAUCGGCAAGUCCUAGGCUCUGUGGUUUAACCCACAGCACCACCCACGUCCCAAAACUCCCCUAAACUCCCCUUAAACAACCUCUGCAGUAGCCCUCCUCCCAGUGGAGCAGCAUUUUCAACACUUGAUCUUAGCCAAAAGGCCGAGAAGGAGCAUUUUCAGUUUUUCUUAGAGCAACAAAACGUCCUGAGCAACAGAGCAUCUUCCAAAUACGGUGAAUGCUCGGGUUGCGAACGUGGUCUGUGUGGGAUGCACGUUCGCAACCCGGAGUGUUCGCAACCCGCAGCGGCAUGUCUGCACACGCGUGGGUUGCGAUUCAGUGCUUCUGUGCAUGCGCAAAGCAUGAUUUAGCACUUCUGCACAUGCGUGACUGCCAAAACUCAGAAGUAACCCAUUCCGGUACUUCCGGGUUUCGGCGGGUCCGUAACCCGAAAAAAACGCAACCUGAAGCGUCUGUAACCCGAGGUACGGCCUCAUCCAUCAUGCCAGACUUUGUACUUCAUUCCAGACUGGCACGGCUGGGCAUCUAUUUCUGCUGUAUUCCUGAAUGAUUUUGGGAGCUUGCUCACGUGAGAAAAGCCAUCUGCCUCGGAUGCCCAUCUGCGGAGGCGAGCCUGGGUUGCAUAAUGAGAUUCAAAAUACCAGAAAAGAAGAGAGCAUUUUUUAGGCAGAAGUCAAACGGCUACAGAAAUUUCCCCGAGUAGCUGCUGUCUCCUGCUUGUCCUUUGCACUGUGUUUUGAGCAAUGUGCCAAAUGAUAUGAUGGGUGAUCUUGGGGCAUUUGGGCAUGCUACAGUGCAUUCCCCCAAGACUAAUGGCUGCUGUGUUGCUGGCUUUAAUUCUAUAUAUAUAAGAUUGUCUAUUCGUGUUAGGCAGGCUUACUCUUAGUGGCUAUAUUUCUUGGCAUCCCAAAUCAUGGCCCGAUUUCCUAGGAAGUAAAGGGAUUGGGAGUGCCAUUAAAAGGCUGCUGCAGAUGGCCAGUUACUAUUCUUGUUCUUUGUGUUCUCUGCUUCCCCAAGUAGCAGACAUUUCCAGGGCAGGUUUUCAAGGUCAAGUGCCUUGUGGGGACAGAUUAUUGGAGACCUACAGUAUUUUAAAAGUCAUAUUUGAUUACCUACAAAUACGCAGGUUGAGCGGCCCUGAGGGUGGGAGGAGGAAGCAGGCACAGGGACAGGCUUUGCUAGUGCUAAACCACCAAAAUCUCACCACCACCUCAAAAGCAACUACAGUGGUACCUCGGGUUAAGUACUUAAUUCGUUCCGGAGGUCCGUACUUAACCUGAAACUGUUCUUAACCUGAAGCACCACUUUAGCUAAUGGGGCCUCCCGCUGCUGCCGCACCACCGGAGCACGAUUUCUGUUCUCAUCCUGAAGCAAAGUUCUUAACCUGAAGCACUAUUUCUGGGCUAGCGGAGUCUGUAACCUGAAGCGUAUGUAACCUGAAGCGUAUGUAACCCAAAGUACCACUGUACAUGAUCUUGUGACUCCCCAAUGCUUCAUCUUGCCAGUUGUCUCCAAAACUCGCUGCUUCUUCCUGCUUGUUCCCUUCUCAGAUCCUCUUAAAAUCAAAGAAUCAUAUCACUGCAGAGUUGGAAGGGACCCUGACGGUCAUCUAGUCCAACCCCCUGCAAUGCAGGAAUCUCAGCUAAAGCAUCCAGGAUAGAUGGCCAUCCAACCUCUGCUUAAAAACCUCCAAGGAAAGAGAGUCCAUCACCUUCCAAGGGAGUCCAUUCCACAGCUCUUAGAGUCAGAAAGUUCUUCCUGAUGUUGAGCUGGAAUCUCCUUUCUUAUAACUUGAAGCCAUUGGUUCGAG